CGCGGUAGAGAGAGGAUAGCAGAGAGGAAAGAAAGAGAGUGCCCAGUUCGGUUCUUCACCUUAGGUCUGUGCUUCACCUCUCCUCCUUCUUCUCCUUCUUCUCCUUCUUCUUCUUCAUUUCUUCUUUUCUUCUUCUAUUCAAACUCUUUCUUCUUCAUUUAUUGUAACCACAGAGAGGGUUUGUGUGAAAUUUAGGGGUUUUUUUCUCCUUCUUCUUCUUCAUUUUUUCUUUUCUACCAGAGACAGAGAUCGAUUAGCUAAACAAAGUUCUGGUUUCGAAUAGUUUGGAACUCGCACAGAGAGAGGAGAGAAGAAGGAGAAGAAGGAGCUCGCCCCCUUGUGGAAUCUCCUCUGCAGAGCAGGUAUUGGGACAAAUUUUAGGGUUUUUCUAGACCCCCUAUACAGAGAGCUAUUAUGUCUGGAAGUAGUAUCCCUGCCGUUAAGUGAUCAGAAUUUGAGACCACUGUGUUCAUUGAAGCAAUGAAAGAAGCUGUAAAAAAUGGUCACAAAUCCGGUAAUUCAUUUAACAAAACUGGAUGGGAGAUCAUUACAAAGCAAUUUCAACAGGCUUUAAAUCGU